rnacentral:lncRNA from 12 species
UAAGUUUUUUGACAUAAAUGAUAUUCUCUGAGUCUUCAAACUGCUCUUUAUAUGUACAUAUAAACUUUUAGAAUAUGUUAAAGCAAAACAAAACUUAAGUGGUUGGCUCUUAAAACUGAAGGACUUAGCUUCAAUUGAAUAUUAUCUCCAUAAUACAUUAAUGAAAUCUACUUAAGUGUUCAAAAAAGCCAAAAAUUUGUCCUUGUUUUCUGUAUUAUCCAUACCCUGAGGGCGGUGAUGGAGAAAAUCCUUGCGGGUUUUUGAAUGAUGGAGGAAGUUUAGGAAUAGAAGAAAUUGAGAAGAUGUAGUCCAUACCUCAGAAACAAGACUUGAAUAGUGUUACACAAACAAAAAAAGCCAGAAUUAUGGUUACCAUCAGCUACAUAGGAACGCCAACUAAGAAAACCUAAGUCAAAUGCUUUUUAGCCCCCUUAAUGUCUUCAGGAAUGUUCUAUGAAAAGACCUCAUAUCAGAGCCAAGAGAAAUUGGAAGGAGUUGCUACUGCCUCAAAAUUAGCUUAAAUAAACACUUUCAUAUAGGGUAUUAUACAAUGUGUACAGAAAUUCCAUUUUUCUACACAGAAGAGAAGCCUCUCUUAUCUUACAGGGAAAUUAUCUUUUGGGAUCUUAUGAAGAACUUCUUAUGACUUGAACCUGGCCAGAUAGAAGGAAGUUCUGGAAACAAACAGUGAAGAGGUAUAAAGAAUAAAAUUGAGCAUUAUUAAGCA